rnacentral:lncRNA from 1 species
CUGGUGUGUUAGUUUAGCGGAAGGAAGAGAAAGAGUUAUUAGUUAAGAUGAUUUGUUGUUUACUUGAAGUACGGAAGGAGUUAUUGAGGGUAUUUGUUGUGUUUGAGGCUUCCCUUAAGGUUACAAAAAAGGAGUUUAGAUGAAACUUAUAGAGCUAUGAUAGUAAUUUAGGUGUAUAGAAUGGUAAAUAGUGAUGAUGGGUAGAAGGAGGAUGUGUUAAUGGAUUGUAAAUAAGAUAGGCCAUACGGUUAUGAUCGGUUAUUA